UACGGGGGGGGCAAGCGUUGUUCGGAAUUACUGGGCGUAAAGGGUCUGUAGGUGGCUUGCUAAGUCAGACGUGAAAUCCCUCGGCUUAACCGGGGAACUGCGUCUGAUACUGGCGAGCUUGAGUGCAGGAGAGGAACGCGGAAUUCCAGGUGUAGCGGUGAAAUGCAUAGAUAUCUGGAGGAACACCGGUGGCGAAGGCGGCGUUCUGGACUGCAACUGACACUGAGAGACGAAAGCCAGGGGAGCAAACGGG
rnacentral:rRNA from 1 species